rnacentral:rRNA from 1 species
GACGAACGCUGGCGGCGUGCUUAACACAUGCAAGUCGAACGGAAAGGCCCUGCUUUUGUGGGGUGCUCGAGUGGCGAACGGGUGAGUAACACGUGAGUAACCUGCCCUUGACUUUGGGAUAACUUCAGGAAACUGGGGCUAAUACCGGAUAGGAGCUCCUGCUGCAUGGUGGGGGUUGGAAAGUUUCGGCGGUUGGGGAUGGACUCGCGGCUUAUCAGCUUGUUGGUGGGGUAGUGGCUUACCAAGGCUUUGACGGGUAGCCGGCCUGAGAGGGGGACCGGCCACAUUGGUACUGCGAUACGGCCCAGACGCCUACGGUAGGCAGCAGUGGGGAAUAUUGCACAAUGGGCGGAAGCCUGAUGCAGCAACGCCGCGUGCGGGAUGACGGCCUUCGGGUUGUAAACCGCUUUCGCCUGUGACGAAGCGUGAGUGACGGUAAUGGGUAAAUAAGCACCGGCUAACUACGUG